AACACCUGUAAUGCAAAAAUGACAUGAAUAUGAUGUGUGUGAUGCGUAUGCAGGUUAACUUUUCUUCUCUUUUUUUUUUUUUUUUUAUGCAUUUUUUUGAAAAAUAAACAUGCUAUGAUGCAAAUGAUGGAGCCAUGACUGGUCGGCUGAGUAUCACACGACACAGGAUCAAAACUUCGGCUUGAACUCUGGCGUCACAAA
rnacentral:lncRNA from 1 species